GCUAUGUGCUGUCUUGCCGAGUCGGGUACGAUCAGUGGCGCGUGACGCGUGUGGUGCAGUGUGGUUAUGGUGUGGUGUGCACGGGAUGAGUGCCAACCUUGCCGAUAGCUGGUGUUCGAAGGACGUCACGUCGUAUAACAAGGUGUUAUAUACACCAGCGCAAGCGCCAACACGGACAGAAAGAAAAUGGGGCCAAAGCGUGUACUAAGUGCGGAGGAGAUAGAAGCUCGGAAGAAACGUCGAGCGGAGCAGGAACGUCGUCGUUAUGCAGCGAAGUGUGGCUCCGAACGCGAGCUUCUGUUGGCUCGAAAACGCGAAGCGGAGCGGCGUCGGGUAGCGGCAAUGAGCCCCGAGGAACGUAGCGAACAUUUAGCACAGAAACGCGAAGUGCAAAUGCGUCGAUCCGAUGCCGUGAGGCAGCAGCGGAUCUGGGCCGUAUUCGCCUCGCUAUCGGUGUACUGCAGCACUCACGGAACUCUGCCUGUUGAAUCUACAAAAGCUGUGCAGACAGAGGCCACAGGUUGCUUCAGUGGUAGGAUGGAUGUUGCAGUUGGGACAACAAUCGUUAACAAGGGUGUGUGCCAGUCAACCCAGACAUCGCCUGCUGCUGAGAAGGUGCACAGAUGGGCAGAUACCAUAGACCUUGAUGGCCACGGCAGUGGCCCUCAUGUGCAGGGGAUUUAAGGUUCCAGAUGAGCGGCCUGGUGAUUACAAUGGGCACAGGUCACUGCCUGCUGGACCCACCACAGUCAUGCAAGAGGACAACGCUGCACAAUUCAACCAGAAAGCAGACGUUACUAUUUAUUCCACAUGGUGCAAGGGCAUCUCCAAAGUGACAGAGGCCGCAUUAUACACUCUGAAGGUCUCCACAGGAAUGCAAUCUUAAGAUUUAGGGCAAGUCCUUGAAAAUCCUUGAAGGCAAGUAGCCUUGAAAAAGGCAAGUCCACUUGUCAAAACAUUGGCUCCUGCUUUCACCUUGUUCUUGUUUUCCUCAUUGUCUUGAAUUUCCAUCUGCCUCCCUGUGUUUUCCCCCAAUCCUUCUGUACGCCAAAUUUGCAUACAUGCUGCAGUGCAGAAAUCAACCCGCUCUAAGUCAUUCUGUGUUGUUUAGGUUCACUGUAUAAAGCAUGCUGAACUACAUGCUUCAAUGGGACAGGGACGAUGAACUUCCCCAGAUGCCGAGUGAUUUGCUCUGCAUGCAGAAACCCAUAAACUGACCUGGGACCAUGUGAGCCAGCAAUAGGAUACAGAUUUUCGUCACUUCAACCUCUGCUACCGAGCCAUGAUCUAUCAACCUGGCGACUGAGCCUGGAUGUGGGCCCCUGUGGGAGAGGCCUAAAAGGGAACUCAUUUCCUCUAUUUCUGUCCAGGAAGCUGUUAAUGCGCCAUUUCGGGCCUUAUAAACUCACAAGAUUGGUCAGUGACAUGUACGAGGACUUCUUGGACAGUGUCAUAUCCAUGCAUCAACAGCCUUUUCCUGAAACUGUACCCAUCAUACCCCUCAAGCUCUACUUCACACAUUAGCAUGUUACUUUGUGUGGCACGUUGCGCCUCUUCCAUAUAUUCUCUUUUCAUUGUGUGUGUGUGCGCCUGUUGUUUUCCCAGCUUGACCUGAGGGGUCUCAAAAACAUUUCUCUGUACUGCUCUGACCUGGUGCAUAGGUUUGGAAAAUCGGGUCAGUGCUUCUGGAAAGGCAAUGCCACCUCACGUCAUGAGGCGGCGUAUAGCAGACAAACAAGUACAGGACCUAUGCUCGGUUUCUUACAUGUGCCAUCACGAGAAUGCAAUGGUUUAUACAGACAUAAUAUUGCAGCCCGAUUAGGUGACAGUAUCAUAAAAUUAAGAAAUAGCUGCUGAGCACUUUGUAUGUUUCCAUAUGGUAAAUAUGAUGCCAUGUAUAUUUCUCAUCGUCAUCAUCAUCAGCCUAUUUUCUGUCCUCUGCAGGACGAAGGCUUCUCCCUGUGAUAUCCAAUUACCCUUGUCCUGCGCCAGCCGAUUCCAGCUAGUGCCUGCGAAUUUCUUAAUUUGAUCACCCCACCUAGUCUUCUGUCAUCCUCGACUGCAUUUACCUUCUCUUGGCAUCCAUUCCGUAACCCUUAUGGUCCACCAGUUAUCUAGCCUAUGCAUUACAUGACCUGCCCAGCUUCUUUUCUUUCUCUUAAUGUCAAUUAGAGUAUUGACUAUCCCUGUUUGCUCUCUGAUCCACACCGCUCUCUUUAAUUAAAGAGUUUUUUUAAAAAUUGGCAGAGAAUUCUUCCUUUGGAGAUGAUUGGCAGUGUUAAUUGAUUUGCAAUCUCAUGAUCGGCAUGUGAUUGGUGAUAUGUUUCAUAUGUUAGGGUUAUUAUGAAGAGUGGCACACACCUAGUGACACAUUUCCAGUGACCCGAGUUGGCAUCAGAGAGGUUUAUUGAAGAAUGGCACUUAUGCAGUGACUCAAACUGGCAGUAAACAUGUUCAUUGAUGAGAGGCACAUACCCUCUGGCAAACACCCAGUGACUGAAGUUGGCGCGAAAGAGGUUUAUUGAAUAAUAAGUCAUGCCCGGUGUCACAUAACCAGUGACCCAAGUUGCUGCAGCAGUUGGUUUCAAACUUGGCUCCUCGAGCACAGCAGUCCGAUGCUCUGCCGAUUAGACCGUAGACUACCCAGUGGUUCAACAUGGCAGAAAGAGGUUAGCCGAGGACAGACAUGCAGACAGACAUGUUGCAAGCUGGGUGAUGCUCUCGAAGAAUACUAAUGUUGUUAAAAUUCAAGAUGCACUGAAAUAAAUAUCUGCUGUUUUGAUA